CUUGGGUGGGUCAUAGAGCUCCAGCUGGUACCUCUCACUAGCGUUGUGCUCGUUGAUCCUCCUGACCUGCAGGUGGCAGCGCAGCCAAUGCGGGGGUGUGUCUGAGAUAGUGUCAUCCACCUCCAGGUACCGCAGCUGUCCCUCUUUACAAACACUUCCUGUCUCUUGUUUUCGUCUCACAGUUCGCAACAAAUUCCAUCGUUCCCACCGCGCACCCUUCUGCGAGGUGCGAUGGGCGGGUACCUGCACAGUCUGAGGUGGGGUUUGAGAGGUGCACUCAACAGUCAUCGAGGGUCUGCCCCCCUUGAUCGAAUCGGCCCUUUGGCAACCACCUGAAGGUUCAUCAGUUUGGGGGGAUUUCUUAAAGAAUCGGCAUACGCGUUCUCGAAAUCCCCUGACGGAAAAGUUGGUUACGUCACUACGGGAGGGGAAGGAAAACAAAGUGGGCGAGUAUCGUUCAGACCCGGUCCUCUGCUCCAGGUGUUCGUCUUCCUGGCUAUGAUGCCGCGUUCUGCGUGUAGUGUCUGCGGGAGAGCAUCGCAGCAACUGCUCCUGUUCUCUAGGGAUGCCGGCGGCAUCUGGUUUGGGCGCCAACACGGCAACUAACGGAGUCACUCCUGGCCGCGCGGUCUCCCGGUAAUCCAGCACCCCUGAGAAGGAAGUGAUGCGCAAGCGGCCAGUCAUGGGCAGCAAAGGAGGAGGCGGCGGUGGCCAGAGGGUGGGUUCUGCAUCUUUAGCCACCUCACAGCUGAAGUGGUGCUGGAAGAGGGCGCUGAACUGCUCCGAGAAACUUUCCGGCGGGACCACAUCCUGCACCGACCGCUCUCUGACGAAGCGCCGGUAGUGCUACGGACGGUGCAGUGCUCGUGGUCUGCUGGAAAGUGUUACCAUUCAUUGCAUUAACCAGCACAGCAGGGAAUCACUGCGAACAACAGAUGGACAACAUUAAAAACUGCAUCAAUAAGCAAUAAAUUAUGAGACAGCGCUAUAUUGCGGCCAGGGGGCAGAAUAUUUCCAGUACAUUUC
ensembl:lncRNA